CGUGGGUGGCUGCAGCCCUGGCCAGGCAUGCACUCUGCUGGGAUCUCGGACUUCCCAAGCGACAGAAGUAAAUUUCCAUACAUUAUUCCAUCUGAGGUAUUUGUUACAGCAGCAGGGCCAAGUGGAGGCUUCUAUGGUGCCUACCAAGUGUCACAAUGAACUGGCCUUUCAUCUGAGCUACUGCAAAUCGGUUUCCAUCAACUGUAAUCAAGUAGCUCACCACAGAGCUCUGGCAUUGUAGGAAGACUGAUGAGAGCAGCCACGUGACAUUGCUAAAACCCAGCAGGACGGCUGGAACUCGGCCAGCAGCAGAUGUCCACGCAGACCCAGGUCCUGCUGCCAGAGAGAGGAGCGAGGCUUCCAGGCAGGGGAGAGUGGGUCUGGCAAACGCACUGCCUGGCCACAGCAAGGCUUGAGCAGCAGGGAGCUGGAGGCAAGGGUGAGCCGAUGUCCGGAGGGCAGAGGCCUAACAUGUGCGCUGCCAGCGAACCGGAACAGAAGCAUGUUUGAGGCCAUCUUCCAGCAGCGCCUGACACCACAGAGGACAGGGGAAGGGCCACUGCCAGCCUGACUGCCCUCCUCCCUCCAGGGGUGGGCCACCCCUGUGCUCCCCCUUUACAGGCCUGGACCCAGGAGCAGGGGCCCCUUGAGGCCUCAGAACAACUUAUCAUUUGCUCCCAAAAGUUCAGAAUUGGGUUUACCUUCACUCCUACCCUGGGUUCUUCAUAGUCAACAUUGCCAACAUUGUCAAAAGUAAAAACUGUUUUCCUGAACCUUUAUACCUUGUCCCUGGGAGAACUCUUAUCACACAGUAAGUAUUUCACAAUAUUGUGGAAUAAAUGCAUGAAAUUGGGUAAGUUCCCCCCCUCCAGAAAGAAUUGAAGAUGAACAAAGCUACCACAAGAAAAAGCAAAAGGAAGGACUCAGGGCUUUGACAGACCGCAGCUACCUUAGAGCAGCAGUGGGUCUCGAGAGCGCCCUCCUUCCCCUAUGGAAAUUCCUG
rnacentral:lncRNA from 1 species